UUUCUGGAUAUAAAAAGAAGACAUCUUUUUGGAAAUUAGAAAAUGAAGAGAUAUAGAGACAGGAUAAGAUGUGAGCAUGUACUGGUGCAGCACACUCUGCUGUGACUGGUUAGACAAAUAUAUUGAGGAUACAUCCAACUAAUUGUGCUUUGCCAAAGAUCACACAGGUGCAGGACAGGAAAGAGAGAAAAAACACAAAGAUCGAACUCAUAUGACCACUGACUUGAUUUUUAAAGAGACAAUGUCUGAGAUUUUGCCUGAAGGAAGAGGCUGUGAUUUUAUAGACUUGACAUAUAACUUAUGAAAAGCAUCUUACCUGACAUUAACAAGGGUUUCUGGUUUAAAAUUUAAUUUAAUGAAAAUAUCUUUAAAAAUUGAAAUGGGG